UUUUAAAAUACUAAAAUAUAAUUAAAAUUUGAAUGAUACAGAGAAGAUUAGCAUGGCCCCUGUGCAAGGAUGACACACAAAUUCGUGAAGCGUUUCAUAUUUAU